GACGAACGCUGGCGGCGUGCUUAACACAUGCAAGUCGAACGGAAAGGCCCUGCUUGCAGGGUACUCGAGUGGCGAACGGGUGAGUAACACGUGGGUGAUCUGCCCUGCACUUCGGGAUAAGCCUGGGAAACUGGGUCUAAUACCGGAUAGGAGACAUUUUUAGUGUGAUGGUUGGAAAGUUUUUUCGGUGUAGGAUGAGCUCGCGGCCUAUCAGCUUGUUGGUGGGGUAAUGGCCUACCAAGGCGGCGACGGGUAGCCGGCCUGAGAGGGUGGACGGCCACAUUGGGACUGAGAUACGGCCCAGACUCCUACGGGAGGCAGCAGUGGGGAAUAUUGCACAAUGGGCGCAAGCCUGAUGCAGCGACGCCGCGUGGGGGAUGACGGCCUUCGGGUUGUAAACUCCUUUCGCUAGGGACGAAGCUUUUUGUGACGGUACCUAGAUAAGAAGCACCGGCUAACUACGUG
rnacentral:rRNA from 1 species